AUAAAUAACGGACAAAAAUAUACAAAUAAUCAAAUCCUAAAUUUAAGAGUAUCUACUUUAGAAACCCGAGUAAAUGAUUUAGAACAAAGAUUAACCAUCCUAGAAAAAGGAAAAACCAAAAUCGCUAUAGAAGAAUCAGAUACACAAGAAGCUAUACAUUUAGAAAAAUUGGAGGCAGAACUUAUGAAUUUAAAUAUUACGUAGUCAUUCAUGGAAAGACUAACGGAAUUUUUCAAACAUGGUUAGAAGUGUUAGAUUCAAUACAAGGUUUUAAAACCCCUCUUUUAAAAGGUUUUAAUGAUUUUUCCGAAGCCACAAAUCAUGCUAGAGGAUAUUUAGGACCAAACUAUUAUAUAUCACCAUCACUCAGACAGAACUCAGAUCAAAUACCUCAGUAUAAUUAACAAAGAGAG
rnacentral:lncRNA from 1 species